rnacentral:misc_RNA from 1 species
UUAAGUUCAGCGGGUAGUCCUACCUGAUUUGAGGUCAGACGACAUGAAAUUGUCCGAAGACGAUUAGAAGCAUCCUUACACGCGAGACGCGGAACGGCGCCAGAAGUAGACUUAUCACACCGUUGUGACCGAUCUCCGCGACGGACGCUAAUGCAUUUCAAGACGAGCAGACCUUGUAAAAGGACUGCAACAUCCAAAUC